rnacentral:rRNA from 1 species
AAGCAGCUUGCUGCUUUGCUGACGAGUGGCGGACGGGUGAGUAAUGUCUGGGAAACUGCCUGAUGGAGGGGGAUAACUACUGGAAACGGUAGCUAAUACCGCAUAACGUCGCAAGACCAAAGAGGGGGACCUUAGGGCCUCUUGCCAUCGGAUGUGCCCAGAUGGGAUUAGCUAGUAGGUGGGGUAAAGGCUCACCUAGGCGACGAUCCCUAGCUGGUCUGAGAGGAUGACCAGCCACACUGGAACUGAGACACGGUCCAGACUCCUACGGGAGGCAGCAGUGGGGAAUAUUGCACAAUGGGCGCAAGCCUGAUGCAGCCAUGCCGCGUGUAUGAAGAAGGCCUUCGGGUUGUAAAGUACUUUCAGCGGGGAGGAAGGGAGUAAAGUUAAUACCUUUGCUCAUUGACGUUACCCGCAGAAGAAGCACCGGCUAACUCCGUGCCAGCAGCCGCGGUAAUACGGAGGGUGCAAGCGUUAAUCGGAAUUACUGGGCGUAAAGCGCACGCAGGCGGUUUGUUAAGUCAGAUGUGAAAUCCCCGGGCUCAACCUGGGAACUGCAUCUGAUACUGGCAAGCUUGAGUCUCGUAGAGGGGGGUAGAAUUCCAGGUGUAGCGGUGAAAUGCGUAGAGAUCUGGAGGAAUACCGGUGGCGAAGGCGGCCCCCUGGACGAAGACUGACGCUCAGGUGCGAAAGCGUGGGGAGCAAACAGGAUUAGAUACCCUGGUAGUCCACGCCGUAAACGAUGUCGACUUGGAGGUUGUGCCCUUGAGGCGUGGCUUCCGGAGCUAACGCGUUAAGUCGACCGCCUGGGGAGUACGGCCGCAAGGUUAAAACUCAAAUGAAUUGACGGGGGCCCGCACAAGCGGUGGAGCAUGUGGUUUAAUUCGAUGCAACGCGAAGAACCUUACCUGGUCUUGACAUCCACGGAAGUUUUCAGAGAUGAGAAUGUGCCUUCGGGAACCGUGAGACAGGUGCUGCAUGGCUGUCGUCAGCUCGUGUUGUGAAAUGUUGGGUUAAGUCCCGCAACGAGCGCAACCCUUAUCCUUUGUUGCCAGCGGUCCGGCCGGGAACUCAAAGGAGACUGCCAGUGAUAAACUGGAGGAAGGUGGGGAUGACGUCAAGUCAUCAUGGCCCUUACGACCAGGGCUACACACGUGCUACAAUGGCGCAUACAAAGAGAAGCGACCUCGCGAGAGCAAGCGGACCUCAUAAAGUGCGUCGUAGUCCGGAUUGGAGUCUGCAACUCGACUCCAUGAAGUCGGAAUCGCUAGUAAUCGUGGAUCAGAAUGCCACGGUGAAUACGUUCCCGGGCCUUGUACACACCGCCCGUCACACCAUGGGAGUGGGUUGCAAAAGAAGUAGGUAGCUUAACCUUCGGGAGGGCGCUUACCACUUUGUGAUUCAUGACUGGGGUGAAGUCGUAACAAGGUAACCGUAGGGGAACCUGCGGUUGGAUCACCUCCUUACCUUAAAGAAGC